GCCGCUUCAUCGGCAGCGGUGCUCGCUGCGCCGGCCGGGGAUGCCCCCCGCCAGCUCCGCUGCCUCCAGCCGGCCCGACUCCCACCCGGGACGUGAGCUGUGGCUCUGAGGAAUAUCCCAGCCCGCCUUGCCAUUCCCUGCUGCCCCGCCCCGCGCUGUUUCCCUCGGGUUCCCAACGAACGCGGACAGGGAUGACAUCAGUGAACACCGACAGCCUGUCCCUCAGCAAGGAUACGCCCUCGCAGCUGGGCGCCGGCCUGACCGUGCCGCGGAAUCUGAAGAUCAACAUUGCCCUGGAACGAGCACUUCCCUGCCGUGCCUUGGGCACCCCGUGUGUCCCGCUCUCGUUCGCAGGGCGGGAGGAGCGGGUUCCUGAGAGGCUGUGACUUGGACCAAGAAGGAUAUUCGGGGAUGUCAAAGAUCAACAUCUCCAGUCAAUGGACCUUCUCCUGAGACUCAGCUGUUUGGACUUUGAAACAAUAAUCACUCUUUGCAUUGUUGUUUGAUUUUCUUAUAUUGUAAACCUUGUCUCAGUGAUAUGAUAGAGAUAGAUAUUCCACAGGUAAAGAAUCUCCCUGACCAUUCUAAGUCAGCAUCUGACUGAGGUUCUGAUUGACAACCAGCAGAUUGCUAAGGGAACUUCUCGAGCUGUGUUUGUUUUCCUUCCUGCAAAGGGCCCUGCAGAGGACUAGAAACACUGCCUUUUUUCUUUAAACACAAAAGGGUGAACUGUGGCCGCAGCUCUCUGGCCACCGAGAGCAACAGGCACAACUUUUCCAGGCAUUGUCCUGGGGAAGGCUGUGAGAAGAUCAGAGAAAAGAAUGAGAAACAAUUCUUAUCUCCACUUGCUGCACCUGUUGUUGUGCACACAUGGAAUAUGUUAUGGAGAUUUGUUUACCAAAGGGUGAUUUCUUAAUUGGCCACUGUGAUAGUGUUUGGAUUUAAUCAACCAAUCUGGUCAAAGCUGUAUUGGAUGUUGGCAAGGGCGAUGGGUUUUUCUGAAUAGUAUAGUAUAAUAUAAUAAAGUGAUUGAUCAGCCUUCUGGAA